rnacentral:rRNA from 1 species
AUUGAACGCUGGCGGCAUGCCUUACACAUGCAAGUCGAACGGUAACAGGUCUUCGGAUGCUGACGAGUGGCGAACGGGUGAGUAAUACAUCGGAACGUGCCUAGUAGUGGGGGAUAACUACUCGAAAGAGUGGCUAAUACCGCAUGAGAUCUACGGAUGAAAGCAGGGGAUCGCAAGACCUUGUGCUACUAGAGCGGCCGAUGGCAGAUUAGGCAGUUGGUGGGAUAAAAGCUUACCAAGCCGACGAUCUGUAGCUGGUCUGAGAGGACGAUCAGCCACACUGGGACUGAGACACGGCCCAGACUCCUACGGGAGGCAGCAGUGGGGAAUUUUGGACAAUGGGUGCAAGCCUGAUCCAGCCAUGCCGCGUGCAGGAAGAAGGCCUUCUGGGUUGUAAACUGCUUUUGUCAGGGGAUAAAAAGCCUAUGCGUGGGAAAUUGCAGGUACCUGAUGAAUAAGCCACGGCUAACUACGUGCCAGCCGCCGCCGUAA